CAUUACACUGUUCAUGCUCUCGGCUAAUGAAUGAAUGGCAGUCCAACUUCCUCUCGCGGGACUCUCCUUUCUAAAUAUCGCGGAGUUUCCUUCUGUUUUGUAUGUGUGUGGCAGGCGUAGUUUCGGGCAAGUCUAAGAAAGGUGGAGACUUUCGGGAUAACUUCCUGUACAGUAAUCUUGAUAUCAUUAGCUACAAAGAUAGGUUUGGUUGGCUAUUCAAGCAAAGACGAAUGGCUUAAGUAACGGUGUGCUGAACUUGAUUAUCGGUAUUGAAUUAAAUACACAUACAGUAGCUAGCAUUCAAGCUGCUAUAUAACUCAAGCAACCGGAUAGCAGAUUCCAAACAUCUCAUAUAGCGAGACGGUCCUGGCCACAUUGAAGGACAGUAUGGUAGAGGUUGUGGUGGAGUAUGAGUACGAAGCCCUCCAUGAAGAUGAGCUGACCCUGAGGCUGGGAGAAGUGAUCAGGAACGUCCGCAGGAUCGAGGAGGAGGGAUGGAUGGAGGGAGACCUCAACGGGAAGAGAGGACUCUUCCCUGACAACUUCGUCAAGGAGAUGAAGAAGGAGCCCAAGGAGGUGAAUGUGACAAAAGAGGAGGCCAAGGAGGAGACGCAGCCCCAGCGGAGAGAGAAGAGUGCAGGGAAUGUGGCCAACCUGGUCCAGCGGAUGAGCACCUACGGCAUCCCAGCUGGGGGCUUCCAGCCACACUCACAGCCCCGCGGUCUCAAGAAGAAACCUAAGAAGCGGCAGUGCAGGGCUCUGUUUGAAUACAUGCCCCAGAACGAGGAUGAGCUGGAACUGAAGAUAGGGGAUAUCAUCGACAUCAAUGAGGAGGUGGAGGAAGGCUGGUGGAGUGGAACCAUGAAUGGCAAAUCAGGACUGUUUCCCUCCAACUUCGUCAAAGAGAUGGAGACGAACGCAGACGGACAGACAAAUGACUUAACAGAUGAAGCCGACGCCAGUGGUAAAGAAGCUCUGCUCCCCCCCUCCCCCACCCAACCCUCUCCAGGCAAUGGAGUGAUCACCCAGCCCAAGAAGAUCCGGGGGGUGGGCUUUGGGGACAUCUUCAGGGAAGGCUCGGUCAAGCUAAGGGCCCGCCUGCCCAGCACAGAGGGAGAGGAGAAGAAAGACAAACCAAUCCCAUUAUUACCAUCUGCCGCAAAGCCCGCCCAUUCCAACGUGACAGACUCACAGAAAGCAGAGGGGGACAGCAAAGCAAAAGUAAAAGAAUACUGCAAGGCCACAUUUGCGUUUGAAGCCACAAACCAAGAUGAGCUGACACUGAAAGAGGGCGACGUCAUACAGAUUUUGAGUAAGGACACAGGGGAGCCGGGGUGGUGGAGAGGGGAGAUCGGAGGUAAAGAGGGAGUUUUUCCUGACAACUUUGUGGCUGUGAUGUCAGACGCAGACAAAGAGCCGGCUCCCACAUCAAGAGGAUCAGUCAAACUGUCUCCCAAGCAGGAAGCAGAAGAGAGACCCAAGAAGCCACCCCCACCAUCAAAAAGCAUAGCUCGCAAACCCGAGGUCCCGUUGGCUGACAAGAAGCCCCUGCAUGCGCAUCCUGAGGACCGAGGUGACAAGACAGAUCAAAAACUGUCAAAGCCUACUGCCCCUCUGGUCCCACCCAAGAAACCUGUCCCCCCGCCAGGCAAGAGUAAACCAGGCGUCCUCCCCCCAAAACGUCCAGACAAGCCUCUCGCACCCUCCCUAGGGGCCAAGCACAAUGGAGAGGUGCCUUCCACACUUCCAAAGUCUGAUUUUGAGCCAACGUUACCCAGCAAACCAAAAACACUGUCGGGUGACUGGGGGGACAAAGCCCUUGACAUGGACCUGAUGAGCUUUGAUGAUCUGUCAUCUACCUCUGAGAAGCUGUCUCACCCCACCGCUAACAGACCAAAGAUGGCUGGCAAGAGGCUUCCCGCUCAGUUUGGAGGAGGCCACUCUCCAAACAAGGACAUCAGCGUGGAGAAAACCUUCAUGUUUGACGAAGAGGACCGCCCCAAGCCAAAGUUGAUAGACGCAAGAAAGGUCGUUUUCCUCCUGGCAUCCAUCUCGCCGUCCCUCCCUCCCUCCCUCUGUAUGUAAGCCACCCUGUUGCUGUAUGAAAGCCCUCUUAUCUUGAUGAACCCUGAUCCCACCGGCUCCAGUACAACACAGUCGCAAGCCUCUGGCAUUAAUCUCCCUGAGGUCACACAAGAUGUACGUACACAUACGUCCAGUUAAUCAUUUACACGCAUGCAGUCACACGCACUCACGCAGAUAUUCACAUGCAUUCACAAAAUAAUGCUCUUUUGCAAUCCAACAAAUCCACCUAGGCCCAAUGCAAGGCCGAUUUUUAGUCAUACUGGGAGACGGUGCUAGUUGUCCUACAGAGGUCGAAAGGGGGGGGGGGCAUCCUCAUGUUUCUAAUGAAAGCUUCAUGUCCAUCCUCGUGUGUGUCUUGUUAGCGUUUCCUCAGAUGCCCAGUGGGGGAGUAAAGCGGACAUGCACCUCACGCUGACUCUGUGUGGGCAGGCCAGUGCCACUGGAGGCCCUCUCAAAGCACCCACCAGACUCUGGGGGCACCAGCUGUUUACCUGUACCACUUAAAUCGAGUGACUAAUCCCUGCGCAUCAAGCCCCGUAACUGUGGGCUACAAACUUCUAUAGGUUGAACUAAAGAUACCCUUUGGCUCCUUGGACAUUUAAAUCCUUUAAAAUUAGAUGUUGACCCUCUCGGCAGAGGAAAAUAAGGAAAUGAAUGAAAACUAUAUCCUGAGGUGAUGGGAGGCAGGAGAACACAAUAUUAAAGCAGCCCUGACAUAACUUCAGAGGGAGAAACAGGGGAUCAGUUGUUCAAUCCAAAUGAAAUGGCCUUCUGCAGCUACAGUACGAACUGAAUGCUCUGCAACAGUGUUUCAAAUGGCUACUGUAGCUCCCUCCUAGCAAUCAUGGCUGGUCGCUGAAGACAACUUACGCCAUCCAUGCCCAGCUCACACUCCCAGUCUCCCGU